GUCACAUUCAGAAUUCUCGACACAUUUAUGAGUACAAGUAUAAUAGUACUUUACUUAAAAUUAUUGCUCAGGUACGUUUUUAUUCAUUGGCGAAUAAACACACAUGAUGACACUAACCAUAUAUCGUCCAUAUCCGUUUAUUUUUUGGUUUUAUAAAAAUGUCAUAAAAUAAUAAUAAAAAUAAAAGAACUCGUUUUAUUUAAAAUAUUUAACCGUGCAUAUUAUUAACACCCAGCGUGGAUGUAGUUUCUAUUGCUUUUCGUAACCAUUAUUAAUGUUGAUUUAUACCUAUUAUAUUGUAUUAUGAUCUUAAUAAUUUACGAGUUACGACCCAAUAACAAAGACGACGUGUGUGCCGGAGCACAUUGUGGUACAUGCAAGAUUUUCAAAAACCGUGUACUCACCUUCUUAUACCUUUUACUAUAAUAAUAUUCAACAAGAACGUAUUUCAUAAUAAUAACACGUGUGUGAUGAACAUAAUAUAG